rnacentral:rRNA from 1 species
GAUGAACGCUGGCGGCGUGCCUAAUACAUGCAAGUAGAACGCUGAAGGAGGAGCUUGCUCUUCUGGAUGAGUUGCGAACGGGUGAGUAACGCGUAGGUAACCUGCCUGGUAGCGGGGGAUAACUAUUGGAAACGAUAGCUAAUACCGCAUGACAACAGUUAUUGCAUGAUAACUGUUUAAAAGGGGCAACUGCUCCACUACCAGAUGGACCUGCGUUGUAUUAGCUAGUUGGUGAGGUAACGGCUCACCAAGGCGACGAUACAUAGCCGACCUGAGAGGGUGAUCGGCCACACUGGGACUGAGACACGGCCCAGACUCCUACGGGAGGCAGCAGUAGGGAAUCGUCGGCAAUGGACGGAAGUCUGACCGAGCAACGCCGCGUGAGUGAAGAAGGGUGUCGGAUCGUAAAGCUCUGUUGUAAGAGAAGAAAGAGUGUGAGAGUGGAAAGUUCACACUGUGACGGUAUCUGACCAGAAAGGGACGGCUAACUACGUG